ensembl:lncRNA
CUCAAGGAGGGGACAGGCCCUCUGCUGGGACGGGGUGUGGUGGGGAGGGGGAUCUGGUCUGUUUGCUCAGCAGAGAGUAGACGAUAGGGAGGGAGACCCACAGGAGCCCAAGUGAACAGGUGACCUGGGGGCCGCUUUCCUAGAAGCACCCUGCAGGAGGGGCGUGGACGACAGAAAGGGGCACUGAAGCAGCAAGGCAGAGUUCUGGGGGUGGCGAGGGCCCCCAGGCCCACCCACCUCCGCGGAGCUCCUUCCCCACCUGUGUGGGGAUGGGUCUGGAGGUGCGUCCUAGACUGUGGGCAGCUCCUCCCCAGCGUCCAGACGCCCCCUACCCUAGCCCAGCCUGGUCUGGCUGCGGCGGCUAGGGGCCACAGAGGGCGGGGUCCGGGGCGGGGGCGCGCCGGACCGCUGGGGGCGCGGCUGAGCCGCCAGCCCGCCAGGCUGUUGACAGUCUCCAGGGAAACGGACCCGCCCUCUCGACCCCGGCGCUUCUGAGAGCCCAGAUCCGCGGACCCUCCGCCGGAGCCGCAUCCACCGCCCCUGCUCCUGUCCGCCCCCCAAGUCUGGGUGGCGAGCCUUUUCCUUCCCCGCGCACCCCGCACAGCCUCGGAGCACAGGUGCUGUGAGGAUGGACAUGGGCCCAUCGGAGGUGCGGGCGUGAUGUCGGCCCAGGAGCUCGUGGCCUGCCUCUGUCGAGAGGGUGACCAGCACCUGGCACUGGGGGAGACCCCGCUGGCCACUGCCUUCUAUCUGGCUGCCUUCAGCUGCCACGCUCCCUCGGCCCUGCGGAGUGUCCGAGCCGCCCUGCCCGAGACCCGGGGGUCAUCUGUGGUGGCCACCCUAGAGGCCUGGUGCCGAGGUGACAGCCAGAUACCAGCCAUCCACUGGGACGGCAUGGCAGUGGUCUCCCUGACAGGGACCCUGGCCUGUGCCUUCCUGGCCACCCUCUGCCCCGACCACCCUGUUGCAGCCCUGCACUCCCUGGCUGGGCUGCUAGCACACGGGCACCACGGGGAAGUGGUGCGGCGCUGUGGGGUCCUGCUGGACGCCCACUCCCAGCAGAGCCUGGAGUUGCGGCUGACCCGCGCCCUGGCCUGGGUCCUGUCCAGAACACAGGUGCACACCGGGGUGGCCGAUUACCUCCAGGCCUUCGUGGAGAGCGCCGACCGGACCGUGGCCUUCGUUCACACGCAUCAGCAGCCCUACCUCCCUGCUCUGGUCAGAGCCCUCCAGGACUACAUCUCAGAACAUCAGGAGGCUGGGGAUGGUGCCAACCAACAGGUGACCAACUGCCAGGGACUCCUUGCAGCCCUGGACCCUGAGGGCAUCUGGAGCAUUACCCUGUCACCUGAAGCCCUGCUCCAGCAUGGCAGGUAUGAGGACUGCCGGGCAGCCUGCAGCCGGGCCCUGGAGGCCACCCCAACGGGUUGCAGACCCCAAGGUGAGCGUCUGGCCACCCUGUUGGUCACCCGCGCUGCAGCGACCUUUUUCUUAGACAGCGGGGCCCAAGACCUGCUUCGGGACCUGCACUGGGCCUUCCGCGAGAGCCCCUCGGGGGCUCGGAGGCAGUUCGAGGCCGUGCUCUCCGCCGGGGACCGGGAGCGCUUGCACGCCCAAGUGCAGGAGGCUGCGGACGUGGGCUUCUCCCACUUCCAGGAGACCGUGAGGAGUCGCCCUGAGCUCCGCGAGGACUCUGGCCGUGAGCUGCUGGUUCCGGUGACCCGCGCGCUCCGGGUCCUGUGU